AAUAAGCUUGAAAGUGGCGAACGGGUGAGUAACACGUAGGUAACCUGCCGCGCAGAGGGGGAUAACCACUGGAAACGGUGGCUAAUACCGCAUGGUACUACCGAGAGGGGACUCUGGGUGGUUAAAACCACGGGCAACCGUGAUGCUGCGCGAGGGGUCUGCGUCCGAUUAGCUAGUUGGUGAGGUAAUGGCUCACCGAGGCGAUGAUCGGUAGCUGGUCUGAGAGGAUGAUCAGUCACACGGGAACUGAGACACGGUCCCGACUCCUACGGGGGGCAGCAGUGAGGAAUAUUGCACAAUGGACGCAAGUCUGAUGCAGCAACGCCGCGUGGAGGAUGACGGCCCUCGGGUUGUAAACUCCUUUUUUCAGGGAAGAGCGAGGACGGUACCUGAAGAAUAAGUCACGGCUAACUACGUGCCAGCAGCCGCGGUAAUACGUAGGUGGCAAGCGUUAUCCGGAAUUACUGGGCGUAAAGCGCACGCAGGCGGCUAGUCAAGUUCGACGUGAAAGCUCCCGGCUUAACUGGGAGAGGUCGUUGAAAACUGGUUAGCUUGAGGCAAUGAGAGGGGUGUAGAAUUCCCGGUGUAGUGGUGGAAUGCGUAGAUAUCGGGGGGAAUACCAGUGGCGAAAGCGGCACCCUAGCAUUAGCCUGACGCUCAGUGCGAAAGCGUGGGGAGCGAACGGGAUAGAUACCCCGGUAGUCCACGCUGUAAACGAUGAC
rnacentral:rRNA from 1 species